rfam:Capsicum annuum cultivar Zunla-1 unplaced genomic scaffold scaffold90, whole genome shotgun sequence
UGUUGAUGAUAUGGGCAAACUUUUAUAAGAGACUUAAAUCUCUCCUAUGCAUGAUAGAGAUUUUCGUCUGACAUUUGCUAGAAACUUAAGAUCUCACUCCUUAACUA